rnacentral:lncRNA from 1 species
CAGAGAUGUUCCCGUCUGCCCGGCAUAUGGAUGUCCUUCUGGGCUGCAAAGUGGCAUCCUGUGGGCAACUCCCCCCACAACAACCAGCUGCCAGCUCUGGGGAUUUGGGCAGCAGAUUUGGGGUUGACAGCAGAAUGACAUGAUCACCAGUUGACCUUGGCCAGGAUGCCAGCUUACUUUCUCGCUUACUUCUGCAGGUUCUUUGUUCUGCG